CGAAUUCGCCCUUUUCCGGUUGAUCCUGCCGGACCCCACUGCUAUCGGGAUAGGACUAAGACAUGCUAGUCGAGCGCCUCCCAGCCACGACGGAGGCGCGGCGCACAGCUCAGUAACGCGUGGCUAACCUGCCCUCGGGACGGGAAUACCCCCGGGAAACUGGGGCUAAUCCUCGAUAGGUGAAGAACUCUGGAAUGAGUCUCCGCCCAAAAGACGCUUAAAUCAUGCUUUUAGGCGCCGCCCAAGGAUGGGGCCGCGACCGAUCAGGUAGUUGGUGAGGUAACGGCUCACCAAGCCUUUGACCGGUUCGGGCCGUGAGAGCGGUAGCCCGGAGAUGGGCACUGAGACAAGGGCCCAGGCCCUACGGGGCGCAGCAGUCGCGAGAACUUCGCAAUAGGCGAAAGCUUGACGGGGUCAUCCCGAGUGCCAUCUGCUGAGGAUGGCUUUUACCCAGUAUAGAUAGCUGGGCGAAUAAGGAGAGGGCAAGUCUGGUGUCAUUCUCCGCGGUAAUACCAGCUCUGCGAGUUGUGGGGACGUUUAUUGAGCCUGAAGCAUCCGUAGCCGGCUGUGUAAGUCCUCUGUUAAAUCCAGCGACUAAUCGUUGGCCUGCGGGGGAUACUGCUCGGCUAGGGGGCGGGAGAGGCCGUCGGUAUUCUUGGGGUAGGGGUGAAAUCCUAUAAUCCCAGGAGGACCACCAGUGGCGAAGGCUGUCGGCUAGAACGCGCCCGACGGUGAGGGAUGAAAGCUGGGGGAGCGAACCGGAUUAGAUACCCGGGUAGUCCCAGCUGUAAACGAUGCAGGCUAGGUGUUAGGGCGGCUACGUGCCGCUCUAGUGCCGCAGGGAAGCUGUUAAGCCUGCCGCUUGGGGAGUACGGCCGCAAGGCUGAAACUUAAA
rnacentral:rRNA from 1 species